GUAGGGAAUAUUGGGCAAUGGAUGCAAGUCUGACCCAGCCAUCCCGCGUGCCGGAAGAAGGCCCUCAGGGUUGUAAACGGCUUUUGACGGUGAAGAAUCGACAGGAUGCGUCCUGUUUUGACGGUAGCCGUUGAAUAAGCACCGGCUAACUCCGUGCCAGCAGCCGCGGUAAUACGGAGGGUGCGAGCGUUGUCCGGAUUUAUUGGGUUUAAAGGGUGCGUAGGCUGGAAGGUCAGUCAGCGGUGAAAAGCUGUCGCUUAACGAUAGUCUUGCCGCAGAUACUUCCUUUCUUGGAUGAGGAGGAGGCCACUGGAACGGAGGGUGUAGCGGUGAAAUGCAUAGAUAUCAUCCAGAACACCGAUUGCGAAGGCAGGUGGCUGUACCUUAAUCGACGCUGAUGCACGAAAGCAUGGGGAGCAAACAGGAUUAGAAACCCGGGUAGUCC
rnacentral:rRNA from 1 species